AGCAGUACCUGCGCCGGCACCCUACGAGAGGAAGCACUUCUCUUCCCCGCAAGCAGGAUGCGGAGCGCACGCCUGCAGAAGCCUAGCUGCAAGGGCGGUCGGGUAUGGAAACGUCUGCGGGAACGAUCAGGUCGGAUCAGUGCCCCUACCCCUCCCAGCCUCACGUAGCAGUGAGUUGGCAAGUCUACCGGGAAUCCAGGUGGGAAGGGGGCGGGGCAGGAGGAGGCGCGAGCCGGAGCGAGGCUAGGGCCAGGAGAGCGGAUUGCCCGGGUCCUGUCCCGCCUUCUCCUGCGGAGGUCUAGACUCUACACCUAGUCGACUGCUCGCCGGGCCAGCCGGAUCGCCUGCGGCCAAGCGUAGGAGACAGGAGGCGGCAGGGAAGGGGUUAAAGCGGAGGGCUCCGAGGCCGCAGCCCGACCUUGGGCCGCAGCCAGAGCAGGUUGUUUUGACCACGAAGGAGCCGUCGCCGUCUCCUUUUGUUCUUGGGGCUCCUCGAGGGCCGCCGGCCGCCCGCCCUGGGGGCCCCGCCCUUCCGCGGCUGCCCCCCGUGGCCGGAGCCCGAAAGAGAGCAAGCUGGGCUUGGCCGGGCCGCUGCAGGCCGCUCGCGGCACCCCCUCCCCUCCUCAUUAGCAGCCCCCCGGGCCGCGGCCAGCUGUUGGGGAGGGGGACGCCAGGAGGCCCCAGCUGCCGCCUCGCCGCGCCGCGCCUCGGGGACCUGGAGGCUGGCCCGGUGCCAGGGCGUCCUGAGAACCGCGGCACCCCGCGGCUGCUCUCUGCAGCCCACCCCGCCCGGCCCCCGACUCGCUCACUCACCCCACGCAUGCACACUCCUGGCCGGAGGCGAUGCUCCGCUCCCGCGGGCGGGAGCGCAGAGCGACGGGCACGCACUAAGGAGGCCAGGUCGCGCGCCCGCCGCCACGCCCGUGCACACGCGGGACACACGCGCACGCGGCCCGAGUACACGUGCGCUCACACACCCACGCACGCACACAGGCACGCACAGUCCCUCUGUACACUCAGCGCCAGGUGCCCGCCCCCACGCAACAGGUGGGCCCUCAGUGCGCUCUGGCACUCCACCGCCUCUGUAGCCACCCCAUUUCCUUCCUGGGGGUUCUGAGAAGGGAGGGACAACCCCAGAUCCUGAUCUGGACUCCACAGCACGCAUUUUGGCCUGUUUAGAGUAGCUUAGCAACCCCUCAAAAUUUACCCUUCUAUAAUGGCUUUUCAACCACCCCACGUGGUGUGAUGUUGGUGUGACCCUGGAGGCCCCGGAGUGCAGGAUAGCCAUGCAACGAAUAGCCAUUUGAUCAUCAAGACAGAGGGACGCCACCUACCUGCUGAGUGUGUCACCCACAACCUCCCUUACUUGGUUAAUCCUGGUAGGAGUAUGGAGCCCUCCUUAUGGGCACUGCUGGAUAUGUAACAUCUGGAUGAGGUUUCUCUUACCAGUCCAUCUUCCUCCAGCAGCACUGCAGUCAGUCGCAUUUAGGGUUGAGGCUGCUGCUCAGAAAUUCAGCCUUGUCCCUUCGUAGACUACUGGGACCCUAAUUACACUGCGUUUUGCAGUUGUCCAAGGUUUUCCCGAUAAGCUUAGGGGUAUUAGACUGAAAUCAUGCGGACAUGUCCCCAUAGAGACCAGCCCAGGCAAGCUCCAAAUAACCAGUGUAGGGAGACACAAGCAGGACUUGCCUCUCUGGGUGACCCUGUAGUUGGCUGUAUUUUACAUGGAAGCUUAAGCGUUGGGAGCAGGCUGGUAGGGUUGAGGCAGUACUGGAGGAGAAUCUGAACAGGCUGCUGAGGCCCGUCUCCAUCAGCUGAGCUGGCUUCCCAGAAGGGGGAUCCCAUUCCUGAGGAACUGUAUGAAAUGCUGAGCGACCACUCCAUCCGCUCCUUUGAUGAUCUUCAGCGCCUGCUGCACAGAGACUCCGUAGAUGAAGAUGGGGCUGAGCUGGACUUGAACAUGACCCGAGCACACUCCGGAGUCGAGUUGGAAAGCUCAUCUCGAGGGAGGAGGAGCCUAGGGUCCCUGGCAGCAGCAGAGCCUGCUGUAAUCGCCGAGUGCAAGACGCGCACAGAGGUGUUCCAGAUCUCUCGGAACCUCAUCGAUCGCACCAACGCCAACUUCCUGGUGUGGCCGCCCUGUGUGGAGGUGCAGCGCUGCUCCGGCUGCUGCAAUAACCGCAAUGUGCAAUGCCGGGCCUCGCAGGUGCAGAUGCGGCCGGUCCAGGUGAGAAAGAUUGAGAUUGUGCGAAAGAAGCCCAUCUUCAAGAAGGCCACAGUGACCUUGGAGGACCACCUCGCCUGCAAGUGUGAGACAGUAGUGACCCCUCGGCCUGUGACUAGAAGUCCUGGGACAUCCAGGGAGCAGCGAGCCAAGACGCCUCAAGCUCGGGUGACCAUUCGGACGGUGAGAAUCCGCCGGCCCCCCAAAGGCAAGCACCGAAAGUUUAAGCACACCCAUGACAAGGCGGCCCUGAAGGAGACCCUCGGAGCCUAGGGGCGUCGGCAAGAGUGUGGGCAGGGUUAUUUAAUAUGGUAUUUGCUGUAUUGCCCCCAUGGGGUCCUUGGAGUGAUAAUGUUGUUCCCCUCGUCCGUCUGUCUCGAUGCCUGAUUCGGACGGCCAAUGGUGCUUCCCUCACCCCGUGUGCCCGGCCACCUCCACCAGCAGCGAUUCCUCAGCCCGCCCUGCAGCUCCAGAUGCAAAGGACUCCACUCCAGGCUGCAGGCUUCUCUUGACUCCAAGAACCUGGAACAAGUGUGCAGGAGCCUUGCCGGGGGACGUGGACUGUGGACUGGCCCCAGAGCCUGGCACUUAGCCCGAGGACCUCUGCAUGUCCUGCCUGGUUCCUGGACCACUGGCCAGCCAGCAGGGAACAUGUUCAGGCAGGCUAGGGUCCCUUGCAGUCCUGUGGCAGGGAGCACAGACUGGAGGAACUCUGAUGGCACCCAGAUCUGCCACGCACUCAUCUCUUCCUGUCCCCUCAGCCCACAGUGGCUUUUCAUUUUAUAAGACAUGAACUCCUCUGGGCAGGUGGCCACACACCUUCUCUGAUGGAUUAGAGGUGCAGUGUGCGUGUGACCUGGGCCGUGUCCCUGCCUCUUUCCACUUCCCCUACGUUCACUUCCGGUUCAUUUCUCUACCUCCACUCUGUGUCUUCUUCCUCAUGUGCCCUUCAGUCUGCUCCUCCACGGGGUGUUCGGAUCCCGAUUGAGGCCCUGAAUGCCCGCCAUUCCUCCCUAGGGCAGGAGACCUGUCUCUUAUAUUCCACUCCAGCCAAGCAGGGUGAGCAAGGUUGUAAUGGGAUGUAUAUUGCACAUGAUGCACUGCGUGUGGAGACUGCUGUUCACACCCUAAAUAUGGCCAACUUGCCUAUUAUGACGUUCUGGCCAAUGUAGGUCAAACCUCUGAGGAAAGGGAACCUUGUUUAAUUCAUACCGAGGCCCUCUGUGGAGUGGCUGUGUGUGCCCUGGCCCAGCCUGAAGCUCAGAAUGAGCCCAUGGUACUGGGGAAGCAACCCUGUUGUCUGUCCAUUGCCUCCACUUCCUGGGUCUCAGCUGUCCCCUUCCUGACAGGUGAGGGGCACUAGGAGACCUCCAAGGGAGGAACAGCCCUCGCUGCACAGGUGUCCCUCUGAUCUUUUGCGGUUCUACCCGAUGGCUCCUUCAAGGAAGCUAGCCAGUAGAUUGGAAGUGGGGGAGAGAGGGAGAGCCCUAGAGCCCUUGGGAGGACGGAUUGACCUGGCCCGCCUCCCUUCCCACACUUUCCCGUCCCCGUUCCUUCUGCUUCCUUCAGUUUGUAAAGUUGGUGAUUAUAUUUUUGGGGGCUUUCUUUUUAUUUUUUAAAUGUAAAGUUUAUUUAUAUUCCGUAUUUAAAGUUGUAAAAAAAAAAAAGCCACAAAACAAAA